UGAAAAAUGCGCAACGCAGGAUGUUUUACUGCUCUAUUGGCGCCGAUGGCCAUUUGGCUAGUGUAACCGGUUCCACAACCCGAUUAAAUUAUUUUGUACCCUGUUUGCCCCGUUCCGUGUAAUUACAUUGUAUUUUUAUUGAUUUCCCUUCACUUGCCCACCCUUGGAAGGCAACAUACCCAUUCAUGUUAUUGAUCUUGCCUAAUGUUCAUUGCCUAUCGUUCAAGACGAGGGAAAGGAAGAUGAAAUGAUUGCGGAAAAUGUGCCCGAGAUUACUGAGCAAUCACAGCAAACAACCAGGGAUCGCAUCCAUCAGGAUACAACAAUGGUUCUUGCGGAUGACGUUGAAAGUCCAAAUAACAUUUUUUCUACUUGUUCUAUGGAGAGGCCAAUGAGCUGUCCAUUGCCCCACACAGUCUGGCCAGAGAACUAUCAAUAUCAGUACUGAAAACUUCAUUCCUAAGUUGGAUAAUAUCGUUUCAGAUUUCAGAGCGAAUCACAAAACGUACCUUUCAUUGGCGGCGCUUGUCGAAAUACAUUCUGAAUGGCACUGGUCGUUCAGGAACAAGGAAAAAAACCAUUGAUGCCACCAAUUCGAAUCCAUCGACUAGAGCGGAUGGGUCACUCCUGAUUAAGACGGUCAGGGUCAAAGACGUUCAGUUGUUGUCGUAUCAUUACCACGGAGAUAUUGUAUCCCCCGAUCGGACUAGCACAAAAUUUCACUUCUUACGAACAUCUCGGAGAAUUGAUGACAGCCUUUGAUGGCACAAAACCUUGUACCGCCAUUACUGAGCGAUCAUGAAUAGAAUUGGCAAAGUCCUCGUCGUCACGAUUGCCGUAUAGAAUGAACAGGGGUCGCUGACAGUAGAACUCAACAACACAGUCUUCACCCGUGAAUGGAUUCAGAUCCAAGUGUAAGGAACGGUCAGCCGCGUUCCUUACAUCCCUUUUCUCCCUUCCCACGCUUACAACCCUUUUCCCCUCUUCCGCCGAUAGGUCAUCUACCGAUGGCUCCGGCCUUCAAUCUCCCUUCUACCUGGCCUUCAAACGUGUGAAUUCUCCACAUAGGUGUUACAUUUACACACAAAAUAUUAAUUCCCUUUGCGACACCUAACCCUAAGUGACCUUGCUCCUUCGUCUAAAUGUUGCCCCUUUCCAGAUUGUCAGUCAGUCUCUUUUGCAGUCUUCUGCAGUCUUCAUCAGCAGUCAGUCAUGUGUCAGUCUGGUUUCAGUCACUUUUCGUUCAUCUUUGAGUCUAUUUGCAGUCUUCGUCAGUAAGUCUCUUUUAAUCGGACUCGUCUUGUUAACUGUUAUCUCGGUCUUUGGCAAAAACGUUGUGCAACAAUAAACCCAUCAUCAUCACACACAA